UUCCAUGAGGCAGAGGAAGCAGCCUGAUUUCUUGCAGAGGAAGCAGCCUGAUUUCUUGCAGAGGAAGCGGCCUGAUUUCUUGCAGAGGAAGCAGCCUGAUUUCUUGCAUACAGCAUCUGACCUGAUGAAUGAGGUGUCAUCUCCACCUGUCUGUUUUCAUCAAAGGUCAUCCAGAAGGUGGCACACUGACACUCCUGGAAGCACCCGGGGAUUCCAGCACGGCUCACACAGUGACACCUGGUGGCCACAACGUGUCCUUGCCCUGCAGAGGCUCCUACUGUGAGACCUCAAAGUCCGUGCCUUCUUGAAGGUGACUGGUCCUGUGAAGUCCUGCACCAGGUGAAGCAGAGCUCAUGAAGUAAGAUGCACACACCCCGUCUACAGGCCAUCUGCUUUACAAGUCCAAACGGUAACUGUUCUUAAGAGAGGGUGCCAAGGCACACUCUGUCAGAAGAACUUCUACUUCCAGGUUUCCUAAGAAUUACCUAAGAGUGCGCCACUGCUGUGCCUGCUCAGUCUUGAAAUUCGGUGGUCUUGGAGCUGUUCCUUAAGAAAAUGUUUCAGAAAUUCUUCUCACAGGGAGGGAUGCUGGUCAGCAACUCCCAGCAAAGUAGAGAAAUAAGUUCAAGAGUCUAUUGGACAACAUGGUGACUGCAGAUAGGAACAAUCUUAUACUCUUAAAAAAUGCUCUUGCCACUAAAAAAAAGAAAAGGAAAAAGAAAAAGAAAAAGAACUCAUGAUAUAAUUUUUAAUUAGCUAGAUUUAGCCAUUACACAUUGCAUAUAUAUUUUUAAACAUCAUAUAAUACACAAUUUUUAGUUUAUAAACAUUUCUCCCUCACAUACACCCAAUUCCUUAAUAGUUAUUAGGGUUAUAUAUAAUUUUUUUAAUGGAAGUUUGAUUUAAUCAAGUUGUUCUCUUUGGGUAUAUGGGAAAUGGCCCCCCCUUAGAACCACUCACCAAAUCAAAACAUUUUUGUGCAUCUAAAUUCAUUUGCAGAGAGCAGCUUGCACCCUCUCUAUCGAUGAGGUCUCUAUGGCCACUGGUAAGAUUUUUACAAAGCCUCAGAGUGGCACAUCUUUCCAGAGGUGAGGAAGCGUGGCCUGCUGACUCAGCAUUCUACAUCAGAACUCAGCACCCAACCCACUGAGUAGAUGCAGAAUUUGGACUAGUUGCUGAUGUCCAAUUCAGCUUGCAGACCAUUCUGUCAGAGUUCCCAGUGAGCCAAAGUUAAUAGCAAAUACAAAGAUAAAUCUACCCGCAACACCGUGCUGAGGACAAUCAUCCCGGCAGCAAUGGGGCUGUGCUGGCUGCAAUUUAAUGUCGUGAGCUGUUUCCUCCUCAGAUUGAAGACAAGUGGGACAGACUGCUGACACACCACAGACGCCUCCAACGCAGGCCGUGGAAUGAAAGCAGCACCAGCCAGGCCACUGGGAAAGGCAGAAGGCAAGAGGUGCUCGCUGGUGCCAGAACAGAGCCUCCGGGUUAGACCACAUGUGGAACAGGCUAAUGCCUUCAUCACGUCCAGAGUACUGCUGGAUUCUACAGCUGCCAAGAGCCUUGGCAAUCAGGACUGCUAUUGCUCAGGCUUUUCACUGUUUCCUUUUUGAACACUCAUCCCUUAAAAUGAGUCUUUUGCCAGACCCCAUCCUGGCUCUUGAUUCACGGAACUCUCUCUCCUGACUCUCACCUUUCUGUGGAUGACUCUCCAAUCGUUAGUUCCAGUCCCGACCUUGGUCCUAAGCGGCAGGCUCAAACAUGAACCACGUGCUAGACAUCUCCCAGGGGGUGUCUCGAGCACAUUUCAUUCGAGGAGAUUAACAAAAGCCAGCUGGCCAUCUGCCCCAGAGAGCCAGUCGCUCUGCUGUCCUGGUUGUCUGAGUUAAUGGCAGUCCUGGGCUUGCCAUCCCCUGACACCCCUUCCCUGGGCCACUGCAAGAGCCCCUCUCGGAGCCUCCGUUGCCCACUCUCUCCACACCCUGCAGCUAUCUCUGAACCUAGCUCAGCUCCAGGGGCACUUUCCUGGCUUCAAAACUCAACAUUCUUUCUUUGCUCCCCAGGAUAAAAUCCAGAUUUCUUUAAAUAAAAAUGUCAGGUACCCUGACCUCAGUCGGCUUCCUGGCCUUACCUCCCUCGCCACAGCCGUGGGUCUCUCCCUUCACCACACACUGUGCUGCCUAGAGCUGUUGACCUGGAGGAGUCUGAAGGGACAAUCCACAGGAAGGAAAUACCAAUCCACCACAUAAAAACAACAGAAGUAAACGUUAAAGUGGACUAAGAUUAUAUUUCCACGUAUCAAAUUGGCAAAAAUCUAAAACUUUGCUAAUAUGCUCGAUAAGACAUGAAAAAGGCACUCCAGACAUUCCUGGCAGAGGCGUCCACUGGGAAAUGUGACAGAUGGCCCUCUUCAAGAGUCUUUCAAAAUGUCCACUGUGCCUCCCAUGGUAGCCUCUUGACAAGAUGGCUCUGGCCUUACAAAGCGAUGCUACACGUUUGCAAUGUGACCACCAUCAGGAGCUGGAAUCUAUUUCACCUGCCCUUGAACCUGGGCAUGUCUUUGGCCAGCAGAAUGCGGUGGUGCACCAGUGUUGAGGGAGACCCCAAGAGCCCUCCCACGCUCCUUCUGCCCCUGAAUUCUCAUCUCCGCAUGAACAAGCCAUACUGGCACCUGGAGGUAAGGUACACGGCUCAGGUGCCUCUGACUUUCUAGCCAAAUGCUGACAAGUGCGUGAGCCCACCCAGGACUAGCCAGACCCACGCCCACCCAUCAGCAGGCAGCAGAUACUGACCAACCCCUGCUGAUCCCAGUGAAGAUUUGCCCCAAUCUCUAGAGACACCACACAGCAUUGUAGACUUCUCUUGAUACUAAAUGCUAAAUGUUCUUUGUUUCAAGCCAUCACGUUUUGAGAUGGCGGGUUACAUACCAGGAACCAACUGAGAGGCCCACUGAGGGGGGAUCCAGCUUGGAGCAAUCUGUUGUGCAGAAGCAGUUGCCCAGCUACAAAAUCAGCCCCAGACAGGCCUUUUCACCACAGUUUGUUGGUAACUUCAAAAGAAAACAAAGGUUGUUUGGAAACAUCAUUGAUAGACAAUUAGUAAUUAAAUUACAGUAUACUGAUAUAAUUAAAUUAUAGUAGACUACAAUUAAAUCAUGGAAUCGGCUCUACAAGGAAGGCUCUGGGUGCCUUCUGCAGAACAUCUGCCAAGGUGCGCCAGCUCGGGGAAACAGCACGGUUCAGAGCAGUGCUCCCGUGAUAAGCUACGAUUCAUGGAAGAACACACUGUACUGUGUGUACAAGCUAAAUUACUUCAAAAGAUACCCAGGAACCUGAAAUCAUCGGCUGCCUUGUACAAAAUAAAAUAUGAACGAGAGUUACAAAGACAAUUUGAGUUUGUAUGUGUAUGUAUGUGCAUUACAUUUAUAUUUAACUUUUGAACACUGACCCAGGUUAACAUAUUGCAAAAAUAAAUAGCCUUACUAGGUCGUCCAAAAGACCUAGUGCUGCCUGCAUAUGGACACUCCCCAACAGAGGUAUCUGUACAUGGAUAGGACCUGCUAAGAGAAUGCUCAAUUAAUAGGAAGCACGGGCUUGGCUAAAGGCACAGAAAUCAGCAGGCGCUAUUGCUGUCUUCCCGUCCCAACUGCGACUCACCACACACCUGAGCAGGCGGUCCGGGAGCUCUGGCCUGGCCCUCUGCCUCUCCCUGCAGCACCCUGGGAGAGGAGCUGAAAGUCAACCAUGACUCUAAAGAACAGUCGACGUGGUCGGCUUAAAGUCAUCUUCUUAUGAGACAUCAGGGAUGAGCAGAGGGUCACUGCGCUGGUUUAAACUGUGAAGAAACAGAAAGGACCUCCAUCACCCACAAUCAGAGGAAGGCUAAUUAAACCGGGGCACACCAAGGGGAUGGACGAGUGGGCAAGCAAGUCCUCGUAACCCUGGGAAGCACUAGGCUCACACCAAGGUGUCAGCAUUGCCACAGGCACAGGAAGUCCCUGAAGAAACCAAGAGCUGGCCCUGAAAGGAAGCACACCGUUAUGAGGGUCACCCUCCACAGGCGCCCCCUCCCACCCUACGUUCACGACGACACUGAGGAUCCAUGUUUAGUGAACACCUUGAACAUCCAUAACGUAUCUGCCAGCCGCUACAGUCUGGAUGUGGUUUGUACCCCAAGAGGUCUGUGGGCUGGAAGUGGGGUGCGUGUGACAUGUGGGGAGGCACAGAACCUUGAAGAGGUGGAGGCCACCGUGAGGAAUGAGGACAGUCAGGAGCCCGACCUCAGAGGGAGAGAUGCUGGACUCACGGAGCGGGUUGGUUUUCACCAGGACAGACUGUUCAAGAGCGAGGCCACCCCACACUUGGCCCUUCCCCACAUGACCAGUUCCCCUUCUCUGCCCUCGUCAGCUGCCAAACAGAUGGACUCACAGAAUCGCAGGCUUUCAGCCCCCAAACCGUGAGCUAAAUGAACUCCUCUUCUUUGUAAAGUACCAGCCUUGGGUAUCUCAUCAGAGCAACAAAAAUGGGCUAAGACAACAAUGUACUGUGUGUGACAGAGAAUACGAGGAAAUGAAGGGCUGGGAUGUACCUCAGUGGUACAGCACUUGCCUCACAUGCACAAGGCCCAGGGCUCAGUCCUCAGCAGAGAGAGAGAGAGAGAGAGAGAGAGAGAGAGAGAGAGAGAGAGAAUAUAUAAUCAUAACACUCGAGAAAUGCCUAGUGCUUUAGUACACAACCCCAGGAUCUCAACAUCACCAUAAUACAGUCUUUUUCUUGCCACUCAAAAGUCAACACAGGUGGACCAGAUGUCCCCCGUCCCUUGCAGUCAUGGGGAAUCAGGCUCCUCCUGCUCACAGCUCUGCUGUCUCUGGGUCCUCGGAGUCCUCCUCCCUGCUGCAGAGGACGGAGCAGGAGGAGCCCCCUUGGGAACGUGGCAUGGCCAGGUCUGGAAGUGCAGGCACCACCCGGCCCAGGCCCACUGGCUAGUGCUCAGCACACGGCCCCAUCUCCUGUAAGGGAGCUGGACACCUCGGAGCUGUGUGCUCACCAGGCAGGAAGAAAGGGCAGCAGGGGGGACGGUAACCCGCCCCUGACACAUCUUCAAAGAGGCUCAUGAAAGAAGAAAAUUCUGAGUUAUUUCUUAAAAGUUGGAAAUGACAACUUAGAAAAAAUAACACAGAGAGUGGGAUAGCUGGGUGGUCUGGCAUGACAAGGGCAGAGCAAGAGAAUCAGAUGAAUCGUUUUCAAGAGGGAAAGAAGCCAUGAGAGGCCGUCCUCCUCAUUUUGUGCUUUCUACCACAGUCAGGAAACUGCUUUAGAAUCCGACAAGGCUCUGCCCCACUCCCACUCUGCCUCUGUGAAGUCCUGGGCAAACUGAAGAUCAAAACCCAGAGUUCCCCUGUGUGGGAUGGAGGUAGAAUCCCAGUCACAAUGUCAUCAUACACGUCAGGGGGACACGGUACGCGUUCAGCAAGCCACAGCCCUCUUCACAGGUGCCCUCUGACCACAGAGUCCCCAGGGGUGGAUCCUGAUUCUCAUGCCACAAUACAGGAUCCGUUCCGGCCUUGACAUCCUACAGAAGAGCAAUGAUCCCUAUUUUCUAAGUUUUUAGGAAAUUUGAAAUAUCUUAAACUCACUCCUCCUUCAUCACCCUCUAACUUAAAUAAAUAACCCAGGACAGAGGAAAUAGGAAAAUCAUCUUUCUAUGUCAGCAACCAAAUCAGGGAUCAUUGAGCACAUAGGAGGACACGCUUGCUUAUUAGCUGAAGAAUGGACAGUGAUCAUCAACAUAUUCAUUCUAGUUGUGCCGCACGGUUUUAUGUGAUAAUUACCAUCUAUUUAACUAAAAUGACCCCGUAUUUCUAAGUUUUGAUCAUGGUAGCACAACAGAAGACCAGCACCAUAAUAAAAGAAAUGUCUUGAGGUUCCUAGUAGCUUUCAGACACAGAAGAUGUCAAAAAAGAAAAGAGCCCGAGGUUUCCGAUGCUCCUUUGGCCAUUUGCAUGUACAUCAUCAGACUCGGCUCGUGACGUGCUGUCAUCGCAUUUCUGUUUUGUCAGAAGCUUCAUUUUGAACAUUCCCAGAGGCCGUGGGUGUCCCAGUGCUCCGAGCUGCCACUGGAUGAAGAAAGCCUCCACCCUCCCCUCUUCACCUAUCCUUUACCAGCUCUUCCUCGCCUGCUCCCGGCCUGGCACUGUGGGAGCACAGCAGACCCUGGUCCCCUGCCCCCAUCUCGCCCAGAGGAGGGGGACUCCAGCAACCGACACCCACACUGACACAAGUGUCCCGACCUGAGGGGAACUUCUCUGUCGCUCUUCCUAGGAACAGCAUCGGUCUCAGUCUGUUGGUGCUGCUAUAACAAAACGUCGGAGACGGGUGAAUUGGAAAGAACAGGUCAAGUCCCCAGGAGGUUCAGUCUCUCCUCCCAGGGUGGAGCCUGGCUGCCCCCUGGAGGGGAAGGGGAAGGAGGGGAAGGCAACCCUCCCAGAGCCUCUUUAGUAAGGGUCACACACCAUUGGCCAGGUGGGGCCCCAGGGAGCUGGCCACCUCUCAAAGGCCUAAGUCUCAGUGCUGUCUUCAACACAUGGGUUUUGGAGGGAAUACACCAAACUACAGCAAAUUACAAAUGUGAAUGAGUCUUAUUUAUGACACACAAGAGGCAGAAACCUGAGCCAGGGAAAAGGAGCAAUCGAGGUGACGCCUGCGUGGCCUGGUUGAGCGAUGUCCCUGGCAGGCCCUGGGACUCCCAGCCUCCCAGCCACAGGGACGUCCCCUUCCAGCCCACACACAGUGAGCGUGUCCACCGGGCGCUGCUCAUCCCAGCACCAAACACAACCACGUUACCAGACAGCUGCAGACCCAAGCACCCUCCCUCCCACGCCCUGCAGAAAGCACAGCUCCAAGGACCUGCGAUCCCCAGCCCCCGCGAUCCCCAGCCCCCGGCAAAGCAGCGUCCCCCGGUCCUGGCAGGAGUGGGCACACUUGCUCGCACGUAGGGACUGACAGAACCCAGGGUGGCUGUCUGGGAGCCAGGCCGGUGUGGGAAAAGGCCGCUGAGGCCCCCCGAGGUCUGCUUUCACAUCUCACCUGUGG